UUUCCUUACCUACUUUCACUUUCGACCAAACUGACGUGGACGUGAACAAAAUGUAAACAUCGCCUCAAAGGUGUUAAUUUUUCAGUAUGGGUGAGGGCAGAAAGCAGGGAGGGAGAAUUUUUGUGUACCUACAAUGUUAUUUUGUCACAAUAGCCACUAUACUGGGUACAGGAAUAUUAGGUCUUCCAGUUACUUUGAGUGAAUCUGGAAUUUAUCCCUUCUUGGUGUCUUUCCUGUUUGGUGCCUUUAUGCAGGU